UAAAAGCAGAAGUACGUACCGGCGUUGGUGGAGGAGUCGAUGUAUUGCACUUCCUCUGCUGCAUCAGGGGUCUGGGGAGAAAAGCAGCUUUAGAUGAAUAACAGAGAGUUGGUAACACAAAUCCUCUAACAGCCUAUGUCUGCCCACAGGAAUCCUUCACCGUCUGAGUAGAGGAAGCAACCCGUCACUGAACCUCCAGGUCCGUCAACGCCGCAGAAGCCAGAGAACAGCUACUCUACCACACCCCCCACUCCCACUCCCACCAGAAACCACAGGGAGAAUCGGCCACAGGAUGCGUUCUGAUGGAUCGGCCCGUCAAGCAGCAGCGUCUCACGGUGUUUCAGCGCAGUGAGACUGGACUUGUGGGUCUUACCCUCCAUGGGGGUGGGGGACGGCGUCGGGGCCGGCGACGGCGACUCCGUCAGCUGGUCCAGCGCGCCGCCGCGCUUCUUCCCGUCCCGAGACUUGGCGAUGACCAUCUGAGCCUUCAGCGCGUCCUGCUCCAGAGACUUCAUUCUGCACAGGAGACAACCGAGUUCAGGCGGGACGCUCUCGCAUCGAGUCAGGGGUGAGAAACGAGGACAAGAGAUGCCAGCGGUGGUUUGUAGGCCAUUCACGACUAAAAAACCGGGCGCUCCUUGUCCUGGUUUGCUGCGCUGAUCUCAUUUCGUGACGAGAUGUGAGAAAUAGAGACGGAAGGCAUUCCAGGAAAAGGACGACCUACUGCUAGUAGGUUUACCCUUAGCGCUCACCAGCUUUGCAAACGUACAGCGGGCUAUGUGUUAAUACACAUACCGCCAUGACGGCAAGGCACAAAAGGAACGUAAAGAGCUCUACAGCGGAGGAGGGAGGAGGCGACACAGAGGAGGGGAGUCGGGGACAAACUGAACCACAGACAGAAAACACAGAAGACGUGCAGAAGCAAAAGAAAGAAAAAAAAAA